CCAAACAGUUUGCAAAACAAAAUGCCCUUAAAAUCAAUAGAAAUGAAAACAAUAUGCAGAAUUAUGUGACAUGAAAGACUAAACUAUAGUUUUAACAUUGUCCUUUUAGUUGCAGUGUUUGCUUUCUAAAUGUCUCUCUGAAUGAUUCAUUUGAAAUAUUUCCCCAAGUUAACCCUUUUUAAUGUCGCCUGGGGUUGCUAGGGUGUUCUAAGUGGUUGCUAGGCUGUUACUCAUGUGUUGUGAGCAUUUUUGACUUGUUGACUUGCAGACUUGUUUAACUUCGUUGUUUUUGAUUGCUUCCAUUGUCCUCAAGUCGCUUUGGAUAAAAGUAUCUGCUAAAUGACUAAAUGUAAUGUAAAUGUUGACACAAGUAUUCAUUUUUCAAGAUGUUGUGGGUGGUUGCUAUGGAGUUGCUAGGGCUUUCUGAGUGGUUGCUAAGUGGUUGCUAGGGUUUGUAUUUGUUAGGGUGUGCAUUGCUGCCUUGUUGGUAUGCAUUUUUAUAUCUGUUCUGACUGGUUGUUAUUGGGUUGUUAAGGCUUUCUGAGUGGUUGCUAGGGUGUUGCUAGUGUUUUCCGAGUGGUUGCUAGGGUAUUGCUAAGUGGUUGCUCAUAUGUUGUAAGCAUUUUUAGCUUGUUGAUACAAGUAUGUAUUUUUCAGUCUGUUCUGUCUGGUUGCUAUUGGGUUGUUGUAGUUUUUAAAGUGGUUGCUAGGGUGUUGCUGGGUUGCUCUUAAUUGUUGCUAAGGUGUUGCCGGGUGCUUAUAUUUUUAAGAAUAUUACUCUAAUCUGCAUCUAGAAGGCAUGAAGAUAUUAAGAUAUAUUAUAAACACGAACAUUAUGAUUUUCUGCAAAGCUGCUGUGAAACAGUGUGAAAAGAGCUAUAUACAGUACAUAAAUAAAUGAUUCCAUGACCUUAGACAUCAACAUCAAAAAACGUGUUUUCUCCUCCCAUUUGAAAGCAGAUUCAUUUAUGCACAAUUAGACGCUUGCAUCCGUUUUAUCAUCAACAUUUAAUGUUGUUUUUCCUCCUCUGGUUCCUGAUUAUAUGACUGAUCUCUUGCAGUAAAGCAAAGUCCUCUGGGCCUCUGGAUUAAAUUCUAGUAUUUCCAGCCAGACCGCCACACACCCUUAUUUACCCCUCGUCCCCUUCACGCGGGGCUGCAGCGGUUCACUGAGCUCCAGGGCAGAACCUGAGCGCCGGAGCGGACAAUAGACACGCCAAACUACUAACCGCACACAAAAGAGUCGGGCUGUUCGCAGGGGGCGGAUGGGGGCAGGGUCAUGGGAAUCACCGCGAGCAGCUGGAUUGCUUUACAUGUGCAGUCAGAGAAUAAUUAGCAUCUCGCUCUCUAAGAAAAUGUCCAGUGAAUUGGCUUUGAGAUUCCGAAUUAGCCACGCAUUUCUCGUCCUGCAGCGCGGAUGUUUGUUUGAUCAGAAUGCAGAUGAGCGUCCGGCGAAGGAUGCGUUCUUAAAGAAAUGAGGAAGUUAAAAAAGAGAUUUAAGGGUUAAAACUGAAUGUGUGGCACCUGCUUUAUAUCUUACAUCCACAUCAUCCUCUGAAUCGAGGAGAAGCUGUAGUGUUUUCUAUGCACAGAUAUCCACGGACAGACCGGAAACUCCUUGGAAAGACGUUUGAGGUCAUUCGUUCCUGGUUCACAUACAUUUGGCCUACGACUUUCCCAGUCACCCGGAAGGAUUUAAAGAUCAUUUUAUUGAGAUUACACUCAAAAAGAGCACUGAAACAAUGAAGCGGAGCAAAACUAGGAAAGUUAUAUUAACUCAAGUUUAAGAUUUUAGUAAAGUCGCCUGGGUCAUGUAUUCUUUUACUUUGUGUAGUUUUGAUUUUAUUUUAUGAAGAUGAGGGCAUCCAUAAUUUAACUAGAUUCUACAGAUGAUGAACUUAUGCCAAAAUACUGUAGAGUUUGAUUGGAAACACAUUCUGGACUGAUAGAAGUUAUUUUUUAUUUCCAUUCUUUUUUUUCUUCAGGCCUACAGAAGCAAUUUCUUUUUUAUUAUUAUUAGAAGCAAAUAUUAUUUUUUUAAUGAAAAUCCUAAUGAUUUAUCCCUUGAAUAUGUUGCCAACUUUAUAAUUUUGUGCACAAAUUCUUCAGAAGAAUAGAAAAAAAAUGUAAAUAUUCCAAUAUUUCUUCUUGAAUUUAACUCUGAAUUGUCACCUGCAGCAUUUUUAAAAAUAUAAUUUUAUAGAAAUAACACUGAAAAAGAGUUCAUUUUGAGCAAAAUAUGGAAUUUAUAUUAACUACAGAACUAAAGUCACCUGGGUUGUAUUACAUUAUUUUAUUAUUUAUUUAUUUUACUGUGUAGUUUUGAUGUUUAAUGAAGAUGUUGACAGAUGUCUAAUUUAACUAGAUUCUACAGGUAGAUUUAAUUGGAAAUAUAUUUUGAACUGAUCUAGUUUGUUUUAUUCUUAGCCCUACAGAAAUAAAACACUCCUUUGUGUUUGUUUGUUUCAAAUUUUUUCAUUCAUGAACAAAAUUAUUUAAAUCUUCCAUUAUUUCUUCUCUCUGAUAACCCUCAUAAAAAU
ensembl:lncRNA